rnacentral:lncRNA from 1 species
CGAUAAGAAAGCCGUUGCUGGAGUGAGAGAAGGGGGCUGGAUUGGGGUGCCCUGGUGCCCAGAAGUGCCAGCCUGUCUGCAGAAGCAGGUGCCUUUCUGUGAAGACUUCGUGGCUACCUCCUUCACUGUGGCAUUCCUGGAACCGGCAGGAACAUUGUGUUGGACUGUAUUGGCAGCUUUAUGAGCCA